rnacentral:tRNA from 1 species
UAUGAAGUGCCUGAGUUUAAAAGGGUAAUUUUGAUAGAAUUAAUCAUGUGUAUUACACCUUCAUAA